rnacentral:lncRNA from 1 species
CUCGUCAUGCUGACCCACCACACACCUCCUAGACCCCUUGAGGGCUGUCAAGUACCAGAUUAACAGUUGUUUCUUCCCUGGAAGGUAUCAGAAUCAGAGGUUCCUGCUACUCAUUUUUUCUUUCCAUGCCCCUUGGCAGUCAUCAUUCCACCUGACCAUUUGAUUUCUUUCUUAUUCUCUUGUCUUCGGUUCAGGCGUUUCUUGUAUUAUUUUUUUUUUCUUUUUUUU